AUUUGAAUGGAAAGUACAGACUACUACGUUGAGGCCAUUUACCGAAUACCAGGCGACAUAUUAAUUUUUAAAAAUGGAUCCGAACUGACACUUCCAGCCGAAAUCACGAUUUGAUUAGUGAUGAUCCUAUCAAACAGUGAUAACCAGUUAACUAUUCAAAAGCAAGCCAGGAACAAUUCAACAUCAUACUAGUGAAAAUCUGGAUAAAAUAAAACCUUUAAAAAAACACCUACCUGGGGUACACAAUGUUCAUCUGAAUUUUUUUGUGAAUGAGGAAUCUACAAGACAAAGAUAUGUCAUCACAUUUAUGUGAGCAUUCUUUAGUAAUAACAUUAAGAGUCCCAGUGAUUGACACCGACCUUUCCGGAUGUACUGAAGAUGAAUCGAGAACGGGUCCCUAAGGCGCAGGAGACUCGACUUCGAGAAGGAUUCACUCUCUUCUGUCCCUUUCCUUUCGCGAUCCAUAGCGGUUUGUGGAACGAUACUGAAAUGAUGGCUCAAUUACCACUGUGCUAUCUGAUAAAAUGACUGAAUUUCUAGGUAUUUUAGUUCAGUAGCUUGUCAAACUUACUAAAGUAUUUAGUCGGUACGUGUAUAUGCUUGUUUCUUGCUGAUGAGCUAAAAAAAUCUGAUACUCCUUACAAAAGGUAUUCUGGUUAUUGUGAUGCUUGGAU